GGGUGUAAGGGGCAUGCUAACGAAAACUUAAUCCAGUGGUUCAGUACAUGAUUCUGAGUCUCUCAGCGUUGAAAUUUUUUGUCGGUCUUUUCACGAUAUUGAAAUUUUUUUUACAGUUUUUUUUAACUAAUUACAGCUUAGAAGUACUUAUUUCAUCUAUCUCAAUACGAUUUUUAAUAAAAAUCGUCAAAUCAAGAUUUUUAACAAAAACUAGCAAUGUAAAUUUAAUUUGCAAAAUGCGCGCGAUCAGCUGUUUUCCAAGAGGUCAAAUAGGCAGGUCACGACUAAUAGGUAUAUAUACAAAGUCACAAACAAACUGCGCGACGUUGUAUUGCCGACCGCCGCCGGUGCCGAGGAAAAUAAUUGCUAUCUCUCUCUAAGCUAAGUCACGCGGCGCGGUUAAUAGGUAUUUUCAAAAUAUUGAAACUUUAGGUCCUUUCGCUAGACGCUACGCUAUUUUUUCUUUAGUUCGUGUUCGGCGGUCUGUUGACAAACAAACCAAAAUUCAAAAACUUUUGUGUAUGUUUUAUGUUCUGUUAGUAGUGAUUUUCUGUAACGAAUACUCAUACAAUUGUGUCGUUUGUAUUGUGUGUGUUUGUGUGUGUUGACUGAGAAGUCUUGAAAUGCUUAGAUCAAAUCAAUUCAGUACUCAUGAAUAUCGUACCUACUACGACGACAUAACGUCUCGUAAACGAGAAACAACCUGAAGUAAGUUAACUACCUGUACCUAGUUAAAAACUUGUAAAGUAUAAAAAAUAGGUAUUAGAUAGGUAAGUGUAGCCAGCCGAUUUGCUGUCGAUGCGUACUACCUACAUGUACGUACGCAGUAGAUUGCGGAGCGUUGUUAUCGCAUUAUUCGCUGUACAUUGCGUGCUCAAAAUUUUCAAAAUCUGAAUUUUCUUAUUUCCGACGUAAUUGGUAUUUAAAAUAUCGUUGUGGAAACUAAAUUUAACCUCUUCAUGCAGUUUUCGGUAUCAUGUCCCUUACACCCAGUAUGUACGUGGAUACGUGCACACUUUUUUGAAGUAUAAGCAAAUCUUGGACGUUAGUACGUCCCCAAAAGAUUAAAGAAAGAGACGGCCGCGUGGCGCAGUGGGUAGUGACCCUGCUUUCUGCAUUCACGGCUGUGGGUUCGAUUCCCACAACUGGAAAAUAUUUGUGUGAUGAGAUUGAGUGUUUUUAAGUGUCUGUGUGUAUUUAUACAUUAUAUAAGUGUAUAUGUAGCGUAUUUAUACAUUAUACAUUUAUAUGUAGUAUAUAAUUGUAUAUUAAUAUUAUAAUAUCAACUAUCUUAGCACCCAUAACACAAGCUACUCUGUAUGCUUACUUUGAGGCUAGAUAGUGAUGUGUAUUGUUUAAGUAUAUUUAUAAUAAUAAUAAAAAAAAGAUUACCCCAUUUCUUAACCACGCGUACCCAUAGGCAUAAACCGUGCACCGUUCACCGUUUGUGACACGUGAUAUUUAAUUUCUUAAAAUGCACACAACCGAAAAACGUUACUAUACGUUCCCUUUUAAGAUAACGUACUAUAGUAACGGAUAUUUUAGUUUAGGUAUUUCAGUUAUAACGAUACCUACUUGAUAUCGUUCCGAUGCCCGCCGUUAACUUCUCAACCCUACUGAUUGUCUUUGAUUCAUAGUCGGCCAUUAUUGUUGUGUAAAAAAGUCAUCUAAGAAAAUUUCGACCAUAAAUAAGUUCAUUGUAUGAAGACCGGAUGGUGAACGAUGAAUUGAAAUAAUUCAUGAAGAUUGCGUAUUGUUUAUGCAAAACGACAGUAAAACUAUAUUUAUAAUAUUAUCAAAUUUACGUCAAACUUGAAAAUAAUGCAUAUAUUUUAACAACGUUUUAAUUCUUUUACUUAAAACAUUAAAGAAGCAUUAAUUUUUACGAAAAAUAUCUACUAUUGAAGAAAAUAGCGUGAGAAAAUGGUACAUGCAACUCAAGUAACAAAACGCAAUUAACGAAUUUAACCAAGGGCUAUUUGGACUAUUUGGUUAUCUCCCUGUUGUCUGUGUUGGCUAGUGUCAAAUUAACGUGAUAUCCUAUUAGUCUGUGGUGAAACAUAGCAUAUUAAUAACCUGUGGAUUAGAAAUUUUAAUUUAUCAAAACAAAACAAUAAUUUUAUUUUUCAGGUUAAAGAGUAUAUUUAAAAAUUAACAAAGUUUUACUAAUUUUUAGUGGUCUUAUGAGCAAAGUUUACUUCGUUUGUGUUAUUGUUACUCAAAACUAUAAAAGUAAACAAAAAAGAAAACUACCUUUAUCUACUUUUGUCGAUGUCCAUUUCUUAAGAAGUUUCUCAUUAAAACAACCCAUAACUCCACGUCCACGCCCAUGGCAGAGCUAGGGUGGUUAGCGUAACUACAAGUGGUUAACUACAGUUAGCCAACUGAAGAACAAUGGCCGAUUAAUUAGUGGUCGCGCUACUUAUCUACUACAUGUCCCUGCUGCCAGUUAUAGCAAUAAUUUCUUUGUUGGGAAGUAUUUAGCACAUCCUGGCUGCGCAAAAGGGGAGGACUAAAUUGAUUACUAUGAACAGACCAUUACGAUGAACCACUGAUAUUGACACAGAGACAUGAAGAUGAGUGCUUUGACAACAAGACUGACUAGCUGAGCCAGCUUUAAGAAUUAUGUGGUGUGUGGUGUGUGUGUGUAAUCCCAGGAGCUCUCUAUGUCAGCCAUCCAUCUAUAUUCUUACUCAUUUUUGUUAAUUAUAAAAUAAAUUUGAUUAUUUAUA